AGUCACCCCUGCGCAGGCUUGUUGCGGAGACGUAGCCGGACGCAGUCCCUACCCACCGUCAUCUGUAGUGCUUGCAGCUCUUCUCCUUUAAGAUGCCUGAGGAAGUGCACCAUGGAGAGGAGGAGGUGGAGACUUUUGCCUUCCAGGCAGAAAUUGCCCAACUCAUGUCCCUCAUCAACAAUACCUUCUAUUCUAACAAGGAAAUUUUCCUUCGGGAGUUAAUCAGUAAUGCUUCUGAUGCCUUGGACAAGAUUCGCUAUGACAGCCUGACAGACCCUUCCAAGUUGGACAGUGGUAAAGAGCUGAAAAUUGACAUCAUCCCCAACCCCCAGGAACACACCCUGACUCUAGUGGACACAGGCAUUGGCAUGACCAAAGCCGAUCUCAUAAAUAAUUUGGGAACCAUUGCCAAGUCUGGAACUAAAGCAUUCAUGGAGGUUCUUCAGGCUGGUGCAGACAUCUCCAUGAUCGGACAGUUUGGCGUUGGCUUUUAUUCUGCCUACCUGGCGGCAGAGAAGGUGGUGGUUAUCACAAAGCACAAUGAUGAUGAGCAGUAUGCCUGGGAGUCUUCUGCUGGGGGCUCCUUCACUGUACGUGCAGACCAUGGUGAGCCCAUUGGCCGGGGUACUAAAGUCAUUCUCCAUCUUAAAGAAGACCAGACAGAGUAUUUAGAGGAGAGACGUGUCAAAGAAGUGGUGAAGAAGCAUUCGCAGUUCAUAGGUUAUCCCAUCACCCUUUCUUUGGAAAAGGAAUGAGAGAAAGAAAUCAUUGAUGAUGAGGCAGAGGAGGAGGAAGGGGAGAAAGAGGAAGAAGAUAAAGAUGAUGAGGAGAAGCCCAGGAUUGAAGAUGUGGGCUCAGAUGAGGAGGAUGAUAGUGGGAAGGACAAGAAAAAGAAAACAAAGAAGAUUAAGGAGAAAUACAUAGAUCAGGAAGAACUGAACAAGACCAGGCCCAUUUGGACCAGAAACCCUGAGGACAUUACCCAGGAGGAAUAUGGAGAGUUUUACAAGAGUCUUACUAAUGACUGGGAAGACCACUUGGCAGUCAAGCAUUUCUCUGUAGAAGGUCAGCUGGAAUUCGGGGCAUUGCUGUUUAUCCCCCGUCGGGCCCCUUUUGACCUCUUUGAGAACAAGAAGAAAAAGAACAACAUCAAACUCUACGUUCGCCGUGUGUUCAUCACGGACAGCUGUGAUGAACUGAUACCAGAGUAUCUCAACUUCCUCCGUGGUGUGGUUGACUCCGAGGACCUGCCCUUGAAUAUCUCCCGAGAAAUGCUCCAGCAGAGCAAAAUCUUGAAGGUCAUUCGCAAAAAUAUUGUGAAGAAGUGCCUUGAGCUCUUCUCUGAACUGGCAGAAGACAAGGAGAACUAUAAGAAAUUCUAUGAGGCGUUCUCUAAAAACCUAAAGCUUGGAAUCCAUGAGGACUCUACCAACUGGCGCCGCCUUUCUGAGCUGCUGUGUUACCACACUUCCCAGUCUGGGGAUGAGAUGACUUCUCUUUCAGAAUAUGUGUCCUGCAUGAAAGAGACCCAGAAGUCCAUCUAUUACAUCACUGGUGAGAGCAAGGAGCAGGUUGCCAACUCCGCUUUUGUGGAGCGAGUGCGGAAGCGGGGCUUCGAGGUAGUGUAUAUGACGGAGCCUAUCGACGAGUACUGCGUGCAGCAGCUCAAGGAGUUUGACGGGAAGAGUCUGGUCUCGGUUACCAAGGAGGGCCUGGAGCUGCCUGAGGAUGAAGAGGAGAAGAAAAAAUGGAGGAGAGCAAGGCCAAGAUCGAGAACCUCUGCAAACUCAUGAAAGAAAUCUUGGAUAAGAAGGUUGAGAAGGUGACAAUCUCCAACAGGCUAGUGUCUUCACCCUGCUGCAUUGUGACUAGCACCUAUGGCUGGACGGCCAACAUGGAGCGGAUCAUGAAAGCCCAGGCCCUUCAGGACAACUCUACGAUGGGCUAUAUGAUGGCCAAGAAGCACCUGGAGAUCAACCCUGAGCACCCCAUCGUGGAAACGCUGCGGCAGAAGGCUGAGGCGGACAAGAAUGACAAGGCAGUCAAGGACCUGGUGGUGCUGCUGUUUGAAACAGCUCUGCUCUCCUCCGGCUUCUCACUCGAGGAUCCCCAGACUCACUCCAACCACAUCUACCGCAUGAUCAAGCUAGGCCUGGGCAUUGAUGAAGAUGAAGUGACCGCAGAGGAACCCAGUGCUGCUCUUCCUGAUGAGACCCCCCCCCCCGAGGGUGAUGAGGACGCCUCUCGCAUGGAAGAAGUAGAUUAGUUCUACCUGCAGACC